rnacentral:rRNA from 1 species
UGACUGGGGCGGUCUCCUCCGAAAGAGUAGCAGAGGAGCGCGAAGGUACCCUCGGCACGUUUGGAAAUCGUGCUCUGAGUGCAAUGGCAUAAGGGUGCUUGACUGCGAGACAGACACGUCGAGCAGGGUCGAAAGACGGUCAUAGUGAUCCGGUGGUUCUGUAUGGAAGGGCCAUCGCUCAACGGAUAAAAGGUACUCCGGGGAUAACAGGCUGAUACCGCCCAAGAGUUCAUAUCGACGGCGGUGUUUGGCACCUCGAUGUCGGCUCAUCUCAUCCUGGGGCUGAAGCAGGUCCCAAGGGUAUGGCUGUUCGCCAUUUAAAGAGGUACGCGAGCUGGGUUUAGAACGUCGUGAGACAGUUCGGUCCCUAUCUGCCGUGGGCGUUUGAGAAUUGAGGGAAGCUGCUCCUAGUACGAGAGGACCGGAGUGGACGAACCUCUGGUGUUCCGGUUGUCACGCCAGUGGCAUUGCCGGGUAGCUACGUUCGGAAGGGAUAACCGCUGAAAGCAUCUAAGCGGGAAGCCCCUCCCAAGAUUAGUUCUCACUAGACUCUCGAAGUCUCUAAAGGUCCGUCGAAGACUACGACGUUGAUAGGCCAGGUGUGGAAGCACAGUAAUGUGUGUAGCUAACUGGUACUAAUUGACCGUGCGGCUUGACCAU